rnacentral:rRNA from 1 species
GACGUAGGGCGCGAGCGUUGUCCGGAUUUAUUGGGCGUAAAGAGCACGCAGGCGGUCGUUCAAGUCGCGUGUGAAAGCCCCCGGCUCAACUGGGGAGGGUCACGCGAUACUGAUCGACUCGAAGGCAGGAGAGGGAAGUGGAAUUCCCGGUGUAGUGGUGAAAUGCGUAGAUAUCGGGAGGAACACCAGUGGCGAAGGCGACUUCCUGGCCUGUUCUUGACGCUGAGGCGCGAAAGCUAGGGGAGCAAACGGG